rnacentral:lncRNA from 1 species
GGUGGCCCUCAGUCAACUGAUGUAGGUUGGCAUUGUGUAGCUAUUUGGUGCCCUGCUUUGGUGCUGUCACUCUGGGGUCAUCCAGCCAGGAGAGCUGUGACUAUGGAGAAAGUGUAUCCCAGCAUCAAGCAAUAACUAUGGGAUGAUUCUGUGGCUUCCCUAAAUCUUCCAAAUAACAGAAUUGAUACCAAAGCCAGAUAGAGGAGAAGGAACCAUGAUGUCCUGCAGAACACAAGACAUGAGAGGAAUUAAACUGGUGUUCGAGUCAAACAGGCAGGUCAUUCAUACUGGGGAGAGAGAGGAGGAUAUCUCUGCCUACUGCCUCCUUAAAACCUCACUCAUUGUCAAAGAGAUUUUACUGGCACUGCACAAGCUGCUAGAGCUGGCCAAAAUAGAUGUGGAACAUGUACAACUGAGGGACAGUCUACAAGCAUAUUGGCCUGAACGUAUUAUGAAGCUGCUGGAUAAAUCCCCCCAUGUUCCCUAUGUGAUCACCCCCCCAGGAAUUCAUGUUACAUGGGGGGUUUUCAGGCUGACACUGUCACUGUUGCUGUCAUACCCAUUUUUCGAAAUACCCAUGUCUUCAAGGAGGGAUUUUAUUCCGUCUUCUUCCUUUUUUGAUCUGAUGUUAAUAAAGAAUUUAGCACAGUCCAUAAUGUCAUAUGUCAUAUUGCCAUAUGUCAUAUGUAAAUCUAGUACUAGGUUGGUACCUUUUACCUUCAGGUAUCUGUGAGCUAUUUCUUUUUGGAUUCCCAGA